rfam:Aedes aegypti strain Liverpool supercont1.33 genomic scaffold, whole genome shotgun sequence.
CUUUCGGCCCUUUUCAGGGCCGAAAUAUUUAUACUAAAGAGUUAUUU